CUCCUGAAGGAACGUUAAAGACGAUGACGUUGAUAGGCCGGGUGUGUAAGCGCAGCGAUGCGUUGAGCUAACCGGUACUAAUGAACCGUGAGGCUUAACCUU
rnacentral:rRNA from 1 species